AAUAAGAUACCCCGGUAGUCCACGCCGUAAACGAUGUCGACUUGGAGGUUGUGCCCUUGAGGCGUGGGCUUCCGGGAGCUAACGCGUUAAGUCGACCGCCUGGGGAGUACGGCCGCAAGGUUAAAACUCAAAUGAAUUGACGGGGGCCCGCACAAGCGGUGGAGCAUGUGGUUUAAUUCGAUGCAACGCGAAGAACCUUACCUACUCUUGACAUCCAGAGAACUUAGCAGAGAUGCUUUGGUGCCUUCGGGAACUCUGAGACAGGUGCUGCAUGGCUGUCGUCAGCUCGUGUUGUGAAAUGUUGGGUUAAGUCCCGCAACGAGCGCAACCCUUAUCCUUUGUUGCCAGCGGUUAGGCCGGGAACUCAAAGGAGACUGCCAGUGAUAAACUAGGAGGAAGGUGGGGAUGACGUCAAGUCAUCAUGGCCCUUACGAGUAGGGCUACACACGUGCUACAAUGGCAUAUACAAAGAGAAGCGACCUCGCGAGAGCAAGCGGACCUCAUAAAGUAUGUCGUAGUCCGGA
rnacentral:rRNA from 1 species